rnacentral:rRNA from 1 species
CACGUAGGGCGCGAGCGUUGUCCGGAAUUAUUGGGCGUAAAGAGCUCGUAGGCGGCCUGUUGCGUCCGCUGUGAAAGCCCGGGGCUUAACCCCGGGUCGGCAGUGGAUACGGGCAGGCUAGAGGUAGGUAGGGGAGAAUGGAAUUCCCGGUGUAGCGGUGAAAUGCGCAGAUAUCGGGAGGAGCACCGGUGGCGAAGGCGGUUCUCUGGGCCUUACCUGACGCUGAGGUGCGAAAGCGUGGGGAGCAAACAGG